GCCUCUGUAGCUCAGUUGGUUAUAGCGCUGCACCGCAAUCGCAGGGCCGUUGGUUCAAUUCCUACCAGAGGAC
rnacentral:tRNA from 1 species